rnacentral:tRNA from 1 species
CAUUAAAUGACUGAAAAGCAAGUUUUGGUUUUUUAAAUCAAAUAUAGUAGAUAAAAUCACCUACUUUUAAUGA